CUUGCAGGGUACUCGAGUGGCGAACGGGUGAGUAACACGUGGGUGAUCUGCCCUGCACUUCGGGAUAAGCUUGGGAAACUGGGUCUAAUACCGGAUAGGAACCAUCUUUAGUGUGGUGGUUGGAAAGUUUUUUCGGUGUAGGAUGAGCUCGCGGCCUAUCAGCUUGUUGGUGGGGUAAUGGCCUACCAAGGCGGCGACGGGUAGCCGGCCUGAGAGGGUGUACGGCCACAUUGGGACUGGGAUACGGCCCAG
rnacentral:rRNA from 1 species